AUGUCGUGGAUAAGGCGUACCACAGACUCCCUCUGCGACCGCGUCCGUGGCGUCGCCCCGGGCUAUGUCUUCCUCCUCGACGAGAGCAUCCACGGCAAGGCGCAGCUGCUGGCGGAGCUCCGAGGCUGGCGGACCUACCUGGAGGAAAUCGUCGAGAAGCUUGGCCUUUGGAACACUCCGUCCAAAGAGCUUUGUUGUCGACAGAGCGAGACCUUGCUGGAGCUGAGAGGCCACGUAGAGCGCCUCCGGCUCUUCGAGGAGAAAACGGCGGUGGACCGCGGCCGCCGGACGCUCGUGGACUCGAGCGUCGAUCAGAUCGUGAAGGACAUCAUGGCGGGAGAGGAGGCCGGGCAGAUUGCCCCGAACGAUGAUGGUGCCGAGGAGGAUCAACAACCCGGCCUCCAGCUGCCGGCGGGUCCAAAUACGCCUGUUUUGAGGAACGACACGGCGGCGGCCGUGGCAGCUGCCGUUGGUGGCCUUGUGACCCCUUUUCACAUGGAGACGUUCGACCUCAAAUCGAUGGUGGCGGACUUGUCAGGUGUGCCAAUGGCGAAGCUGAAGAUGCAGGCGGAGACCGAGGACGAGGUGCUCCUCCUGUGGGAGCCCGGAGGCAAAGCUGAGCAACCACCACCAUCCUCCAAAAUCCGCGCCAAUUUCCGCUCCGCGCGACUGGAAGGACACGAUGUGAAUCACGGAGGCCGUGUGGACUACCAGUUCUUCUCCCCGCCGAUCGACUUCGACACGGAGGAGGAGUCGCCGCUCCAGCCCGGUCGCCACACCGACGCCAUCGGGGCACCCCUCGAGCGAUCGGCCAACGUCCUCUCCAUCAAGGUGACCAGCUCCGGCGUUGCCAGCUUCCCCCUCAGCCUGUACGGCUCCGUCGUUGUGAGAGACGCCCUCGACGAUGAGGGGAUCUGCCUCUUCCACCGCGAGCGCGACGACCCCCAGCUCAUCACCUCGCAGGGCGAGCCGUUGUUGCUGACAGGUCCAACCCGCGGCCUCGUGGUUUUUGGUUUCCUCUUCUUCGACUUUAACCUCAAGCUCAAGACGGGUCGUGUCGAGGAUGACAUAGAGUUCAUCCAAGACAUGAUGGAGUACAACAGACACAUGAACCAGCACACCCACAUCUCCGACAGCCUCUCGUCGCCGCUCGGCGCCGUCGAGCUGUGCUACAUGGCGGUCCGGGGCGCUAUCGGUCCACCGUCGAGAUCCAGAUCCUGA
rnacentral:rRNA from 1 species